rnacentral:rRNA from 1 species
GAUGAACGCUGGCGGCGUGCCUAAUACAUGCAAGUCGAGCGAACAGACGAGGAGCUUGCUCCUCUGACGUUAGCGGCGGACGGGUGAGUAACACGUGGAUAACCUUCCUAUAAGACUGGGAUAACUUCGGGAACCAGAACUAAUACCGGGUAAUAAAUUUAACCGCAUGGUUCAAUAAUUAAAUACGGUUUUGCUUGAACUUAUAGAUUGAUCCGCGCCGCAUUAGCUAGUUGGUAAGGUAACGGCUUACCAAGGCAACGAUGCGUAGCCGACCUGAGAGGGUGAUCGGCCACACUGGAACUGAGACACGGUCCAGACUCCUACGGGAGGCAGCAGUAGGGAAUCUUCCGCAAUGGGCGAAAGCUUGACGGAGCAACGCCGCGUGAGUGAUGAAGGUCUUCGGAUCGUAAAACUCUGUUAUUAGGGAAGAACAAAUGUGUAAGUAACUAUGCACGUCUUGACGGUACCUAAUCAGAAAGCCACGGCUAACUACGUG